rnacentral:tRNA from 1 species
GGAGGAUUAGCUCAGCUGGGAGAGCACCUGCUUUGCAAGCAGGGGGUCGUCGGUUCGAUCCCGUCUGCCUCCACCA